CAGCGAUAGAAGUUUGUAUGGAAAUUGCAAUUCACGCGUCCCAAUAUAAGGCGAUAAGAAUGACUUAUCGUGUAUAUUGGGACAGCUUCAGAUUAUUGACAGCUAAUUACUGACAGUUGAAGGUAGUAAUUUAUCUCUAUCUGUAGAUAGUAUGUAGGGAACGGCCGUUAUUCCACCGACAUUAGGCUGCAUUUGGUGCUCGACUGACGGUCAGCGCUGUCGUUUACUGCUUAGCAGCAAACUUGAUUGUGCGUUUACAAUAAUUGUGAAGAAAAAUUAAUCCAUUUUAAAUCUCUUUAAUAUGUGCGUAUUAAUCACGUAAAUUAUUACGGAAUAAAAGACCGAGAAGGUAUCAUUUCAAAUUUUAAGAAUGGUAACAAUUCUUGUUUGACUUUUGAAGUAGAACUUUAUACAACAUAUUCUAACAUGCCAGAACUUCUGUCGUGGAUAUCCAAAUGUUUUUAGUUUUCAUAAGUGUAAAUUCCGCCAAUAUUUGUCUUUAAACAAUUCGACACGUGUUUCACCUCUACACGAGGCAUCCUCAGUACAUGUUGACUCGCCAAACUCUGGCGGCACGAGACUGCAAAAUUUCAACACUUAAGAAAACUAAAAACAUUUGGAUAAUUACGGAUUGCCGCAAAGUAACGCAAUACUUCAAUAAAAAAGGCUUCGUCGAUGCCGAAUUUUUAUAUAUAUAUACUAGCUGACCCGACAGACGUUGUUCUGUAUAUAAUAAAUGAAAUAAUGUUCUUAUAUGAAUUUGUCAAUAAUAUAUCAUAACAUCAAGAAUUACUUCGUAAAAUAUGCACCCUGCUGUCGUAAUGAAAUUGUUUCACAGCAGAACUGUCAAACCGUGCGUCAAUAAAUUCUCUCACAGAAAAUAUGUAGGGACACAUCAAAGAAAAACAAAUUUGUUGUUUUUAUUUAAUUUAGCAGCAUUUUUCUAUUUAUUCACCUUUUAAACCUUCUCUGGACUUCCACAAAUAAUUUAAGACCAAAAUUAGCCAAAUCGGUCCAGCCGUUCUCGAGUUUUAUCGAGACUAACGAACAGCAAUUCAUUUUUAUAUAUAUAGAUGUUACACACGUUUGGUUGCUUGGUCUCAAGCGACUGAAUGCACAAAUUUAUCGCCAUAGCCCGUCAGAGGACCUACGUACGUUGGACUGACGAGCUCGACUGACUAUUCUCGUGAGCGUCGACGUAUUAAACAGCGCUGGACUGAACUCGUUCAUAUGUUUUUAACCGACUUCAAAAAGGAGGAGGUUCUCAAUUCGAUCGGCAUUUUUUUAUGUACCUAUAUACACCGAUUACUCUGAGAUUAACGAUCCGAUUCCCCAUAAAAAUUUUACAUAGUUUCGCCCAGUAGUUUUCAUUUAAUGAAAAUUUUGUUUACGUUUUUUUUUAAUUUUAAUUAUAGUUUGUGUACGGCUUUUAUUUGGAUUUUUUAUGUAGGUUGAUUAUAUUUUAUUAUUUUUAACUGGCACUAAAAAUAUGUUAAGUUUUUAAAGUGAUAACCCUCACUUCUAGGAUUAAUACACAAAUAAAAUUUGAAAAACAAAAUUUUAUGAACGAUGCGGGACUCGAACCCACGACCUCCGGCGUUCCGUGCCGGUGUUGAGAGUUGAACAAAGCAAACAAGAUUUUAUUUUUUUUGCACCGGCACGGAACGCCGGAGGUCGUGGGUUCGAGUCCCGCAUCGUUCAUAAAAUUUUGUUUUUCAAAUUUUAUAUGUGACACUAAAAAGUAAAAAAUAACUACGUUUUACGUAGUUUUUUUUCCAUAGUUAUAAGCUACGCUCUACCGACGUCUGCGCUGAUCCUCUGUCGAGAACUAAAUGCAGUUUUAGAAGUAUUUAUUGUCGAGCCUCGUAUGGAAUAGUAGAUUGUUAACCGAGGGUCGAAAGAAUCAAUUUCCGAGGUAUUUAGACUAUAUAGGAAUUGAUUCUUUUACCCGUGUUAAACACUCUACUUUUCAUUUCGAAUAUGAGGAAAAUAAAACUAUUUGUUUAUCUAAACUAUUCAUAGAUAAAAUGUUAUAAUAUUAGUAGUACCUAUUUAAAAUUAAUUGUCAAAUUAGGACAAAUAUGGAACUCACCGCGUAAUUGUUGCGUCUUAUUCCGCUCAAAGAAUUUGCGCUAAGUUCACACUGGCUGUUUAGAAAGUCGCAAGGCAUUUUUUUUAUUAGUUUUUCUUUUACAUAAAACUCUUCACAGCUGACGGUAGUUCGAUUUUUAAAGUUCAUUCCGGCCCUUAGGUGGGAAGUAAUUUGUAUGAGUUAUUCCCUCUCUGUGGAGGGAAGCAGCAUUUUCUACCCAAUAAUCAGAUCGAAACAAAAAUACUAGUAUGAGAAAUGAAAAGCAUUUGCCCGAGUACGAUUUCUACUGGGUCCAAAAUACCCGUACGAGUUGUGCAUACCGAGUCUAGUAAAGUCGUACUGUAAAUGUAAUUAAAGGUAUCGAAUGAAUUAUUUUAAUAUUUUUAUAAUUUUGUAUACGAUCAGUAACGGUUUAUUUCAUAUGUAAAUAAGUUGUGUUGUUUUAUAAAACAUAAAUAUUGUUGCACAUAUAUUUGCCAACUAAAUCUGUUUCAAAAUAUUAUAUUACUGUUUAAUAGCGACGAGCACAAUUGUCUUGUAGAUAUCUGGCACCUAAAAGAUACUAUGAUUAUUAUUGUUACAAUAUAUAUUGAAAUAGUUUAGUGAGUAUUCGUUUUGCGGAUCUGACACAAACUGAUCGAAAUGGCGAGUGGACUUAUAGAGUAUUUACACAAAAUAAAUAUUUUAGUUAUGUUUCUAUUCGAAUAUGGACUGUAUUAAAUAUGUUAUUACCUAAUAUUUUUAAAUCAAUCGAUUUUGUAAUUUUUUUAAGUAUCGUUUUUUUUAAAUAUAAUGCCCAUAUCUUCGUUAUUGGGAUCUGUAGUUCCCUUCAAGAUUUUCCGCUGGAGAAACGCAUAAAAUAAAAUAUUAUAGCACAUAACAGUGGUUGUAUUCGUCCUGAAAGAUUUUACUCUGACGUCUAUUUUCGUGAAACGCUUCGAACGGAUUUCCUUCUAUUUAAAAAAGUGUAAUUGAAAAUUUACAAAUAAAAUUUGAAAACAAAAUUUUAUGAGCGAUGCGGGACUCGAACCCACGACCUCUGGCGUUCCGUGCCAGUGCUCUGCCAACCGAGCUAACCGUUCUUUUGUUUUCAAAUUUUAUUUGUGUAUUAAUCCUAGAAGUGAGGUUUAUCAUUUUAUAAACGUAACAUAUUGAAAAAUUAUAUUUUUACUCUGUAGUGCACUAAAUCAAGAUAUACCUAAUCUUUCUAAAAUCGCUUCGAUCAUCGAAUAAUCUGCUCACAUAAUUUCGAUACAGCUCUAGAAAAAACACAAAAGCAUUAAGUUUUAGUCGCGAAUAGAAUACGCUCUUAUAUAUGAUAAAGCAAUUACGCGAAGUACCAUAAUCGUUUUAAAUUAGGGAUUUAUAUGAUGGGUGAAGAUAAUUUUUUAUUAUAUUAGAUUAUACACGGAUUUCCAGUGUGCGAGCGAACAUAGUAACUUAAGAACUAUGGUCGACUGAACGGAUCCCAAGUUCACAUUCUGGUAGGUGUAAGCACUGUAUGGAAUAUUCAUCAAAUGAAUGGGUUUUUGAGGUAGGCUGUUUAUAUGUGUAUGUCAAAGAGUAUAAUAAUUAUAUAGGGAAAAGAGAGCCCUCUCUACGCAUUAUGAACUGUCUAUUUGAAAACUAGCGCCAUCUGGAGAUUGGUCCCGAAAAUAACUAUAUAUAAGCUCCAAAUUAUAAAGUCAUUUUUAAUGUUGUGACGCAAUUAAAUAAGUAACUCUACAUGUAGGUAUUGCAAUUGUUUACUAUGUUGAAACUGCGCGUAGAGUUAGUUAUUUAAUUUUGUCACAACAUAGAACAUAAAGGAUAGAUUUAGUAGUGUAAAUAUGCAAAAUGGAACUCGAGAGCUACAUACAUGUGCAAACGCUAGAAGUAGCUGCCAUUUUAUGACCAGUGGGCAGUGACACAAUUAAAGAAAAGUUGAAAGGUUUCAAAGCGAGUUACAGCUGACAAAGCUUUCGGCCCAACUAACAGAUGGCACUACAGUAUUCUGAAAACGUCACUUUAAGGCGUCUGUCCCACCCCUGGUGUAUGUUCAAGUAUGCAUACUGUUUUAGACGCAUCUUUGUCUAAUCAUUAAAUUUGUUAUACAAUUUAAAUAAAACACUUUUAAAUUAUUAAAACGCGUGUAAUUGUUUUUACAUUAGAUUUUUGCGUAAAAGUUACAUUUUUAUUUUAGUUAACCCAACGUUACAGUCAGCCUGAAAACGAGAUCUAGAAAGAUCUUGAAACGUCGGGUUAACUGAAAUAAAAAAUGUGUAUAAAUGUGUAACACUCGCGUUAAUCAAAGAAAAUACUUUGUUAUACAAGUCAUAAAAUGGAGGUCUAACCUGCAUUAAGAAUUUUUUUUGCCCAUAAACCUAGCGGGGGUUUUUCUUGUAAUCGCGUAUAUGAUUUUUUUUUUUAAUAUCCUUCUAUAGUAUUUUGGUUUGAGCUGAUGGUCUUGUUACCAAUGCUCUAAAGUCUAAAUAAAUAAAACUAAAACAAAAUUCGCCUGACUGAAAUACCGGCUUGCGGCGAGAUAAUUUGUGUGAAAAUGUGUAAAUAUUUAUUAUAAUAUACAAUAUGUCUCAGCAUUGUAGAAACAUUUCGAUACACCUAAAAACACGAAUAUUUACAAAAUACUUUAGAUUCGAAUGCAUUUAGAUGUAGCUAAUUGGGUGAGUGCAGUAGGAUCUGUUGGUAGAUUGAUAGUAGUAGUAAUGGCCGCCAUUGUUGUUGUAUUCGUAAUAGAGUAUAUUGUACCUAAAUAUAUAUCUUAGAACUUACAUGCCCUGUAUUAUGUCGAUACACAAAUACAAUAUGAAGUUAUAAAAUUUGAUAGGUUCAUUAAUUAUUGUAAUCAAAUUUGUUAUAAUAAUAGAAUAUUGUUGAACUAUGAUAAAUGUGUUGAGCUCUUUAGUUACUUGCCCGCAGCUUGUUUGUGUUUUAACUAUAGACUUAUAAUGUAUAGACGUGUAGUAGAACAAAGCAUGCAAGAGAAUAGAACAUAUUUAAUGGAGAUACAUCAAGAAGACAAGUAAACAUUUCUAAUAUUAAACUAGCUACCAGUGGGAGGCUCCUAUGCACAGGAUGCUGACUAGAUUGUGGGUACCACAACGGCGCCUAUUUCUGCUGUGAAUCAGUAAUGUGUAGGCAUUAUUGUGUUUUGGUCUGAACGACGCCGUAGCUAGUGAAAUUACUGGGCAAACGAGACUUAACAUCUUACGUCUCAAUGUGACGAGCGCAAUAAUUUGUAGUGUCACUCAGAGUUAUUGGGCUUUUCAAGAAUUCUGAGCGGCACUGCAUUGUAAUGGGCAGGGCGUAUCAAUGACCAUCAGCUGAACUUCCUGCUCGCCUCGUCCCUUAUUAAAAAAAAGCUAACGAGCACAUUUGCAAAUUAAAAUUGGCCUCACACUAACGCUCUGUGAGCUCGUCUAGUACAUUCUAAGUCUAUGGUGCUUACAGCGUGCUUAUUAAGGUGCGUGUACACAGUGCAGGUUUACAUUUCAUUGUUUUCGAUAUUGUUAAAACUAAUUUGUAUUAUUAUUAAAGCGGUGCUUGAAGAUAUAAUACUUGUACCUUUAUUGCUACAUAAGUUUAUGACGUUUAAGCUUAGUCAAUGGAGAUAAAAAUUCAAAAUGGCGCCCAGGACUUGUACAAAAAAUGUAAAGUUUUCGCUUGCGAUUCCGCUCUGCGAUUCUUCUCCUCUCUUUGCUUUUAGUACAUAUUGGUUUUCGUACAAUACUGCCACAGUGUAAUCACCCAGUACUGGCAGUACUGUAAAAGAACCAUCUGUCUACAGCAUAUAUCACCUCCGAGGCACUAAAUGGCGCUAAACUUCAUAAUGAUAACAAUGAAAAAUACUAUCUUGACUCAUUACAAUUGCAGUCCCCCUGAAAACGAGAUCUGGAAAGGUCUUGAAAACUAAAAUAAUAAUAAAAAUGUAAUUUUUACGCAAAAAUCUAAUUUUAAACCCAAGUUACAGUGACACGCGUUUUAAUCCUUUAAAAAAGUGUUUAAUUACGAUAUUUCAUAUCACCAUAUAAAAUAUCAUUACUCUGUGGUAAUGCCGGGUGUGUGAGUUAAUAUAGCGAGAGGGAGUGAGUGAGAAGGAAUAGUAAACGACGCCAUUUUUAAUUAUUUUAUCUAUUGACUCUGCUUACAGAUAUUUUUAUUUGACAGAAUCUUAUUGCUAUACCGUAUUGAGAAAUAGUUAGUGCUUAUAAUAACAUGGUCUGUAUUUUAUGUAAAUGAAUUCAGUGCUUGAGUAUAUCUAGAGAUUUAUGCUGAACUUUAUCAUUGUUCGUACACGAUAUGUACGAGAAAACCUCAUUAGCUUAAUAUUAUGUAUGUUGUAAGUACAAAUAUAGCGGGGGCGAACGCACCCUCAAAAAUAUUAAAACAUAUUUUUAAUUA